CUUUUAUCAGAUAAAUAAAUAUAAAAUAUCGCGCAGGUUCCGCUGAAGUUGCUCGGCCUUUGUGUCCACUUUUAUCACAGCUGCCAAGUUUGUCUUGGUUUUCGAUACCCACCCAGACUCGACUUUAGAUUAGCACAUGGAGAGAUCUGAUAUCGAACCGUUGCUUUGCGGGUUUUAGAAUUUAAAAGCUCUUCAUCUGACUUGAGUGAAGAGGUCCUAGCAGCUCCCUUUCUUACUUGUACUCGUUUAAUUCUAUUCUUGGGCACUGCCGGAUGAGAUGGAGUGUCCCUACUUUCACAGAUCUGUCUUAAGGCCAGGUCUUAAGGAGUUACACCCAGCCAAUUUAUCAAGUAUGGCCUCUAGCACCGGAAUUCAGUUCCUACCUGGGAGGAGUUGGCGCAUCAGAAUUCAUGACAUCAAGGAGGGUUACUACGCAGGAUGCCUUUGCACCCCCUCCUCCUCCUCCUACUUCAACAUCUGUAUCAUGUAAUCCUGAUAGUAGGGUUAUAUUAUGUUCAAGACAGGCAGCCUUUUCCCCACUUGAGCGUAACCAUGUCCCCAGCAAUGGUUCUAGAGGGGAUUUGCUUCCCUUUGACUGUAUCACCAACACUGGUGCUAGAGAAGACUCCCGUCCCCCUGACCUUGUCACUAACAAUGGUGCCCCAAGAGAAACCCUUCCCAAGUUGCAAAGGAAAAAUAAAUGGUGCACUUGUUUCACUGGAUGAUGAAAUUUUGGUUCAUAGUGUAGAGGGACAAUGGGAUAAAUUUGCCGGAGAAUUUAGCUAAGAGGACCAAAAUGCAUAUGUGGACUUCGUACUGUAUUUCUUUUGUUGUCAGGUUUUAAUUUAUGAACUCCUGUAAGUGCACGAGUCAUCAAGUUUAGUUUUUUUUUUUUUUUUUUUAAUUUUUUUGGUCAACUGAAAUUUCCCUUAACAAGGCCAAGAGAAACAAGACAGCCUAAUAGAAAAGGCCCACCCAACAAGCUUCUCACAGAUUGAGAAUACGAUUCCUGUUCCAACUGUAAUUGUAACACGCGCCUUGAAAUUCUUUGUUAGGCCUUUCUGCCUAGGCUCAAGAAAGGGCUCCUUUCAUGCAAAAGACGUUCCAGUCAGUGGAUUUACGUACCGGGUUGAGUAGGCUCAAGCCCAGCCCGGAAUGGAAAGAUUGAGUCGUUCGAGGAUUGUGCGGCACUCGUCACUAUUCAUCUGAGUUGGCGGUCCUCGCUCUUUCACUCUCCUCUAAGUUUGCGGUCUUAUCUUCUCAUUUCAUCUGGCCCUGUUCUAAUCACGCAAGCCAAUUCAUGACAUCAAUGAACUUUACUAGGCAGGAUGUCUUUGCUCCUCCUACUACUUCAACAUCAGUAUCAUCUAAUCCUGAUAGUAGGGUUAUAUCACGUUCGAGACAGGAGACCUUUUCCCCACUUGAGCAUAACCAUGUCUCCAGCAAUGGUUCUAGAGGUGAGUCACUUCCCCUUGACGGUGUCACCAACAAUGGUGCUAGAGAAGACUCCCUUCCCCCUGACCUUGUCACUAACAAUGGUGCCCCAAGAGAAACCCUUCCCAAGUUGCGAAGGAAAAAUAAAUGGUGUUGUUUCACUGGAUAAUGAAGUUUUGGUUCAUAGUGUAGAGGAUGCUGGACAAUGGGAUAAAUUUGCCGGAGAAUUUAGCUAACAAGGCCGAAAUGCAUGUGGACUUCAUAUUGUAUUUCUUUGGUUGUCAGGUUUUAAUUUAUGAACUCUUGUAAAUGCACGAGUCAUCAAAUUUAGUUUUUUUUUAUUUUUUUAUAAUUUUUUUAAAUAUUUUUUUAAUUUGGGUCAACUGAAAUUUCCCUUAACAAGGCC